rnacentral:rRNA from 1 species
GACGAACGCUGGCGGCGUGCUUAACACAUGCAAGUCGAACAGAAAGGCCCUGCUUUUGUGGGGUGCUCGAGUGGCGAACGGGUGAGUAACACGUGAGUAACCUGCCCUUGACUUUGGGAUAACUUCAGGAAACUGGGGCUAAUACCGGAUAGGAGCUCCUGCUGCAUGGUGGGGGUUGGAAAGUUUCGGCGGUUGGGGAUGGACUCGCGGCUUAUCAGCUUGUUGGUGGGGUAGUGGCUUACCAAGGCUUUGACGGGUAGCCGGCCUGAGAGGGUGACCGGCCACAUUGGGACUGAGAUACGGCCCAGACUCCUACGGGAGGCAGCAGUGGGGAAUAUUGCACAAUGGGCGGAAGCCUGAUGCAGCGACGCCGCGUGCGGGAUGACGGCCUUCGGGUUGUAAACCGCUUUCGCCUGUGACGAAGCGUGAGUGACGGUAAUGGGUAAAGAAGCACCGGCUAACUACGUG